ACUGAUGAGUUACCAAUACUUUCAUCCUAAGGUCUACCUUUGAAUUUGCGCAAACAAAGAUUUUGGACUACUUUGAAAGGGGUCGUCGAAAUUUUAAUAAUCGCCUUCUUCGGCGUGGAAACAACGCCGUCUCCUCCGCCCCUCCUUUCUCUGUCAUUGCCGCUAAAAUAUCGGACAGCCUCCAUGCAAUUAGCAAUUGCAAUGCAGAAAAAUCAAAUAAGGUCUUUUUUUCUCCUGGAGGAUCAUUACUGCCCAUUCUCAUUCGAAAAUAAACCUCCUAGAAGCACUAGAGAUUUGACCUUAUGCUGUAUGUUUUGAAGUAACACCUGUUCUAUGUGUCUCAUACAUAUUUUGAUAUUGCUGUCUAUACGAAAAUUUAGUGUCAACCGGGGAAGCGAACCAAGAGUGCUUUCAUUUAUUAGAGGUACUUGAGUGCUCUUUUUGUGGUCCAAAUGUUGGUGUUUAUUCUGGUCCUCCUAUGACAUGUACCUCAUUUGGUGAAAGACUUUUUCAAGCUUGUUCUAAUGCAUAUUUCUCUUUGUAUGCUAGUACACAAGUUUGUUCCUUUCUGUAGAUUGAUUUAUUUAAAAGGUAGAGACAAACAAUAGGUAGUCGUAGGGCAGAAAACAAUGUGGUGCAUGCUCUUAAUUUUAAAAGGUAUAAAACUACAUUUAAUACUUACCCAAUUUGACUGAAUUAGCUUAAUCUAUCACUCUACUGCAUGAUUGUCUGACCUCUUGUGGACAUAACUUAAGAUCUCUCUUGCAAAAUAUUUUUCAUAAGAAUAUCAGUACAACUAUUGCAACUAAACAGACAAUAUUAUAAUUCAAAAAAGCUCCCCUGACUGAUUUCACUUGUAUAGUAUUGCAGAUCUUUAAUGAGUUGUUUUAAGGUAGUUGAUGUAGGUUAUCUUCCUGUUGCUUACUGAUUCACCAUUGUGUUUGACUUAAUAUGGCAGUCAUGUAGAUAGAAAAAAAUAAAUAGAGAGGAAACUAAGUCUAAGUUUUAUGGUAAGCAAUGUCAAUUCUCUAUAGCAUAUGCUAAAUAUCUAGGCUCUAGCUAUAAUAUGCUAGUGUGAACUUAUUAGAAUUUGAUAGAAGUUCUACUUUAUAUAUUUAAAAUUUUGCACUCCCAAGUACAGUCUCAUGAUUUAGAAUAUGGAUUCGAUUACACUGACUUGGGGUGAUGCGAUCUCAAAAACUUCCUGCUGACUGCUUUUAAUAACACAUGUUAAUUGACAAUGGAAUAACAGGUUUUUUAUUCAGAAAUUGUAUGAAUACUAGCAGUAGAUUGUCGCUGUAUUCUGCUUUUAUUAUUUGUUUUGUUGUUAAUAUGUGAUUUUAUUUUAGUUGCAUUCUCUCUGCUUUGGGUCAUGCAGUUUCAAAGAAGUCCAUGUACAACUUUAUGCGUUCAAAUCGAGCUUGUGGAUUAUAGGCACUCAUAGACCUGAUUCUUGCAAGAUGAUGUAUACUUGAGAGUUGAAGGGAAUUGCAGUGUAUAUGUAUUAUGUAGUAUGACUUAUGAGUAUGUAAUCAGUUAUUUGAGUUCAUUUAUGCUAUGUUUGGAUAGCAAGAUUUCAUUUCAAAUCCUGGAUUUGGGUGAAAUCUAGUGUUUGGAUGGCAUGGAAUUUGAAAUCAUGGAAUUUGUUCAAAUUCUUAUCAAAAGCUUAUAUUAGUAGAAUUUGAAAUUCAA